rnacentral:other from 1 species
AAGAGCCUGGAAUGUUCGACACUCUCGAUAUUUUGAACCUACAUAUGAUAUACGGGAUUUCUAUAUUUUAUCAUGGAUGUCAGGCCAUAAUCUGAUGGAAGGCAGAAGUGAUAGUGCGAUUACCCACCUAGCACAAGCUAGGGGUCAAAAUUCGGGAAACGGCAUUUUGGGUAUAUA